UGGGGAAUAUUGGACAAUGGGGGAAACCCUGAUCCAGCGAUGCCGCGUGAGUGAUGAAGGCCUUCGGGUUGUAAAGCUCUUUUAUCCGGGACGAUAAUGACGGUACCGGAAGAAUAAGCUCCGGCUAACUUCGUGCCAGCAGCCGCGGUAAUACGAAGGGAGCUAGCGUUGUUCGGAAUUACUGGGCGUAAAGGGUGUGUAGGUGGUUGCUUAAGUGAGAUGUGAAAGCCCCGGGCUUAACCUGGGAACGGCAUUUCAUACUGAGGGACUAAGUGUGUAAGAGGGGAAAGCGGAAUGGCGAGUGGAGCAGUGAAAUGCGUUGAUAUUCGUUGGAACACCAGAGGCGAAGGCGGCUUUCUGGCUUAUCACAGACACUGAGGCACUAAAGCGUGGGGAGCAAACA
rnacentral:rRNA from 1 species